UACGUAGGGGGCGAGCGUUGUCCGGAUUUAUUGGGCGUAAAGAGCGUGUAGGCGGCCAGGUAGGUCUGCUGUGAAAACUCGAGGCUCAACCUCGAGACGUCGGCGGAAACCAUCUGGCUAGAGUCCGGAAGAGGAGAAUGGAAUUCCUGGUGUAGCGGUGAAAUGCGCAGAUAUCAGGAAGAACACCCGUGGCGAAGGCGGCUCUCUGGUACGUGACUGACGCUGAGACGCGAAAGCGUGGGGAGCGAACAGG
rnacentral:rRNA from 1 species